rnacentral:rRNA from 1 species
AUUGAACGCUGGCGGCAUGCCUUACACAUGCAAGUCGAACGGCAGCGGACCUUCGGGUGCCGGCGAGUGGCGAACGGGUGAGUAAUAUAUCGGAACGUACCUUUCAGUGGGGGAUAACGUAGCGAAAGUUACGCUAAUACCGCAUAUUCUGUGAGCAGGAAAGCAGGGGAUCGCAAGACCUUGCGCUGAUUGAGCGGCCGAUAUCAGAUUAGCUAGUUGGUGAGGUAAAGGCUCACCAAGGCGACGAUCUGUAGCGGGUCUGAGAGGAUGAUCCGCCACACUGGAACUGAGACACGGUCCAGACUCCUACGGGAGGCAGCAGUGGGGAAUAUUGGGCAAUGGGGGCAACCCUGACCCAGCGACGCCGCGUGAGUGAAGAAAUCCCUCGGGAUGUAAAGCUCUGUUGUGUGGGAAGAUAAUGACGGUACCACACGAGGAAGCCCCGGCAAACUACGUGCCAGCAGCCGCGGUAAAGUCUAG